GACGAACCGUGCGAACGUUAUUCGGAAUCACUGGGCUUAAGGCGCGUGUAGGCGGGACGGCACGUCGGUCGCUGAAAUCCCCCGGCUUAACCGGGGAACUGGCGUCGAUACGACCGCCCUGGAGGGGCGUAGGGGGACCUGGAACUUCCGGUGGAGCGGUGAAAUGCGUUGAGAUCGGAAGGAACGCCCGUGGCGAAAGCGAGGUCCUGGACGCCUACUGACGCUGAGACGCGAAAGCCAGGGGAGCGAACGGGAUAGAA
rnacentral:rRNA from 1 species